AUUGUGACUGAAGUCUUUUUCCAAGGAUCUGUGUGCUACAGACAGAUUUUUUUUUUUUUACCAGAGCAAAUUCAAGUGCAGCUUUAGCCUUUCGUACUCAGUCUCCAUCGACCUGUCAGAGACAUCACAGUGAUUGACUGCCCUGGCAGAUGUGCCGCUAUAACAGCAAGAGUUCUAUCAAGAUCUCUGCAAGCCCAGGGCAUUGAGAAGUUGCUGAAGAACAUUCAUCUCAACUUGAGCCUGAAGAUCUUCUAAGCUGCAAUAGCUUUUGGCAUAGAUAGAGAGGAACCCAGACUACUGGUUCAAAAUCUACCUUUCAGGCAGCUGCAGUAGUUGAAAAGAUUCCCAAGUACAUGGUGAGUUAUUUCCAUUUCUUCACAUGAGACUUGAAUUGACAAAUAAAUCAUACAGAU
rnacentral:lncRNA from 1 species